rnacentral:rRNA from 1 species
UACGUAGGGUGCAAGCGUUGUCCGGAAUCACUGGGCGUAAAGGGCGUGUAGGCGGUCAGGUAAGUGAGAUGUGAAAUGCCCCGGCUCACCCGGGGACCGGCAUCUCAUACUGCUUGGCUUGAGUACGGGAGAGGAUGUGGGAAUUCCUGGUGUAGCGGUGAAAUGCGUAGAUAUCAGGAGGAACACCGGUGGCGAAGGCGGCUCGCUGGGACGUUACUGACACUGAGGCGCGAAAGCGUGGGGAGCGAACAGG